UCACAAUGGGAGUGACUCACAGAGCAAGGAGAGAACCUGAGGAUUCCUCACACGUGUAGUACUCAGAGCUCUACGGAAACCCAGGCACCUUGACCUCAAGAGGAUCAGCCUGGCCAGGGUGGCACAACUCUUCCUUCCCCAUGCACAGGAGGAAAGCUGCCAUCAGCUGAGCAAGUCCACCAACAGUUUCUGUGUCCCACUUCAUCUUUAAUAAGGAAAAGAAACUCAGGAAGAAAAAGUUAAGAAAAGCAGAAGUGAUCAAGGAGAGCACUCGAAUUGCAAUAUUUUCCUUUGGCUGCUGACAGGCAGUUACUAUAAAGCACUGUGCAUGGUGUAUGAAAGACAAAA